rnacentral:rRNA from 1 species
GAUGAACGCUGGCGGCGUGCUUAACACAUGCAAGUCGAACGGUGAAGCAGAGCUUGCUCUGUGGAUCAGUGGCGAACGGGUGAGUAACACGUGAGCAACCUGCCCCCGACUCUGGGAUAAGCGCUGGAAACGGCGUCUAAUACUGGAUAUGAGCUGCGACCGCAUGGUCAGCAGUUGGAAAGAUUUUUCGGUCUGGGAUGGGCUCACGGCCUAUCAGCUUGUUGGUGAGGUAAUGGCUCACCAAGGCGUCGACGGGUAGCCGGCCUGAGAGGGUGACCGGCCACACUGGGACUGAGACACGGCCCAGACUCCUACGGGAGGCAGCAGUGGGGAAUAUUGCACAAUGGGCGAAAGCCUGAUGCAGCAACGCCGCGUGAGGGAUGACGGCCUUCGGGUUGUAAACCUCUUUUAGCAGGGAAGAAGCGAAAGUGACGGUACCUGCAGAAAAAGCGCCGGCUAACUACGUG